GAGUUUGAUCCUGGCUCAGAACGAACGCUGGCGGCGUGCUUAACACAUGCAAGUCGAACGUGAUCCAGAGCUUGCUCUGGUGAAAGUGGCGCACGGGUGAGUAACGCGUGGAUAACCUGCCCUGGUAUCUGGGAUAACAUCUCGAAAGGGGUGCUAAUACCGGAUAAGCCCACGGGAUCCUCGGAUUCUGCGGGAAAAGGUGGCCUCUAUUUAUAAGCUACCGUAUCARGAUGAGUCCGCGUACCAUUAGCUAGUUGGUGGGGUAAUGGCCCACCAAGGCUACGAUGGUUAGCUGGUCUGAGAGGAUGAUCAGCCACACUGGAACUGAGACACGGUCCAGACUCCUACGGGAGGCAGCAGUGGGGAAUUUUGGACAAUGGGCGCAAGCCUGAUCCAGCCAUACCGCGUGAGUGAAGAAGGCCUUCGGGUUGUAAAGCUCUUUCAGCCGGAAAGAAAUCGUGCAGAUUAACACCCUGUAUGGAUGACGGUACCGGAAGAAGAAGCACCGGCUAACUACGUGCCAGCAGCCGCGGUAAUAC
rnacentral:rRNA from 1 species